rnacentral:rRNA from 1 species
UACCAGCACCCCGAGUUGUCGGGACGAUUAUUGGGCCUAAAGCAUCCGUAGCCGGUUCUAUAAGUCCUCCGUUAAAUCCACCCGCUCAACAGAUGGGCUGCGGGGGAUACUACAGAGCUAGGAGGCGGGAGAGGCAAACGGUACUCAGUGGGUAGGGGUAAAAUCCAUUGAUCUACUGAAGACCACCAGUGGCGAAGGCGGUUUGCCAGAACGCGCUCGACGGUGAGGGAUGAAAGCUGGGGGAGCAAACCGGG